rnacentral:rRNA from 1 species
AGAGUUUGAUCCUGGCUCAGGAUGAACGCUGGCGGCGUGCUUAACACAUGCAAGUCGAACGAACCUUCGGGUUAGUGGCGGACGGGUGAGUAACGCGUGAGAAUCUGCCCUCAGGAGGGGGAUAACGGUUGGAAACGACCGCUAAUACCCCAUAUGCCGAUAGGUGAAAUGAAUUUCGCCUGAGGAUGAGCUCGCGUCUGAUUAGCUUGUUGGUGAGGUAAUGGCUCACCAAGGCAUCGAUCAGUAGCUGGUCUGAGAGGAUGAUCAGCCACACUGGGACUGAGACACGGCCCAGACUCCUACGGGAGGCAGCAGUGGGGAAUUUUCCGCAAUGGGCGAAAGCCUGACGGAGCAACGCCGCGUGAGGGACGAAGGCCUCUGGGCUGUAAACCUCUUUUCUCAAGGAAGAAGAUAUGACGGUACUUGAGGAAUAAGCCACGGCUAAUUCCGUGCCAGCAGCCGCGGUAAUACGGGAGUGGCAAGCGUUAUCCGGAAUUAUUGGGCGUAAAGCGUCCGCAGGCGGCCUUUCAAGUCUGCUGUUAAAGCGUGGAGCUUAACUCCAUUAUGGCAGUGGAAACUGAUCGGCUUGAGUAUGGUAGGGGCAGAGGGAAUUCCCGGUGUAGCGGUGAAAUGCGUAGAUAUCGGGAAGAACACCAGUGGCGAAGGCGCUCUGCUGGGCCAUUACUGACGCUCAUGGACGAAAGCCAGGGGAGCGAAAGGGAUUAGAUACCCCUGUAGUCCUGGCCGUAAACGAUGAACACUAGGUGUCGGGGGAAUCGACCCCUUCGGUGUCGUAGCUAACGCGUUAAGUGUUCCGCCUGGGGAGUACGCACGCAAGUGUGAAACUCAAAGGAAUUGACGGGGGCCCGCACAAGCGGUGGAGUAUGUGGUUUAAUUCGAUGCAACGCGAAGAACCUUACCAGGGUUUGACAUCCUGAGAACCUCUUAGAAAUUUGAGGGUGCCUUCGGGAAUUCAGUGACAGGUGGUGCAUGGCUGUCGUCAGCUCGUGUCGUGAGAUGUUGGGUUAAGUCCCGCAACGAGCGCAACCCACGUUUUUAGUUGCCAGCAUUUAGUUGGGCACUCUAGAAAGACCGCCGGUGAUAAACCGGAGGAAGGUGUGGAUGACGUCAAGUCAUCAUGCCCCUUACACCCUGGGCUACACACGUACUACAAUGCUACGGACAAAGGGCAGCAAACUCGCGAGAGCUAGCAAAUCCCAUAAACCGUGGCUCAGUUCAGAUCGUAGGCUGCAACUCGCCUACGUGAAGUAGGAAUCGCUAGUAAUCGCAGGUCAGCAUACUGCGGUGAAUACGUUCCCGGGCCUUGUACACACCGCCCGUCACACCAUGGAAGUUGGCCAUGCCCGAAGUCGUUACUCCAACCCUUGUGGAGGAGGACGCCGAAGGUGGGGCUAAUGACUGGGGUGAAGUCGUAACAAGGUAGCCGUACCGGAAGGUGCGGCUG